CAAAAACAUCGCCUCUUGACUAACCAUAAGAGGUCAAGCCUGCCCAGUGACAUUGUUCAACGGCCGCGGUAUCCUAACCGUGCGAAGGUAGCGUAAUCACUUGUUCUUUAAAUGAGGACUAGUAUGAAUGGCUUCACGAAAGCUAUGCUGUCUCCUUUAUUCAAUCAGUAAAACUAAUCUCCCCGUGAAGAAGCGGGGAUACACCUAUAAGACGAGAAGACCCUAUGGAGCUUUAAACAUCUUAAAACAUUUGAGUACACUAUUAAACUUCUGCAAAUUUCAUCAAGCCCCUCAUUCUGCUUUAAGUUUUAGGUUGGGGUGACCACGGAGAACAGCCUACCCUCCACGUAGAAAGAACCUUUUUUCUAAGCAAAAAGCUACAUCUUUAUGCAUCAACACAUUGACCUAAAUUGACCCAAUUACUUGAUCAACGAACCAAGUUACCCUAGGGAUAACAGCGCAAUCCGCCUUAAGAGCUCUUAUCGACAGGCGGGCUUACGACCUCGAUGUUGGAUCAGGGUAUCCUAGUGGUGCAGCAGCUACUAACGGUUCG
rnacentral:rRNA from 1 species